rnacentral:rRNA from 1 species
GACGAACGCUGGCGGCGUGCUUAACACAUGCAAGUCGAACGGAAAGGCCCUGCUUGCAGGGUGCUCGAGUGGCGAACGGGUGAGUAACACGUGGGUGAUCUGCCCCUUAUUUUGGGAUAAGCCUGGGAAACUGGGUCUAAUACUGGAUAGGACCAUGCUGUAGGUGGUGUGGUGGAAAGAUUAGUUUCGGUAAGGGAUGAGCUCGCGGCCUAUCAGCUUGUUGGUGGGGUAAUGGCCUACCAAGGCGUCGACGGGUAGCCGGCCUGAGAGGGUGGACGGCCACAUUGGGACUGGGAUACGGCCCAGACUCCUACGGGAGGCAGCAGUGGGGAAUAUUGCACAAUGGGCGCAAGCCUGAUGCAGCGACGCCGCGUGGGGGAUGACGGCCUUCGGGUUGUAAACUCCUUUCAGCCAUGACGAAGCCCUUGUGGUGACGGUAGUGGUAGAAGAAGCACCGGCUAACUACGUG